rnacentral:rRNA from 1 species
GAUGAACGCUAGCUACAGGCUUAACACAUGCAAGUCGAGGGGUAACAAGAGAAAAGCUUGCUUUUCUUGUUGACAACCGGCGCACGGGUGAGUAACGCGUAUCCAACCUGCCUAUAACUAGGGAAUAACCUUGCGAAAGUAAGACUAAUACCCUAUGAUUUCCUUUGAUGACAUCAGAUUAGGAAUAAAGAUUUAUCGGUUAUAGAUGGGGAUACGUCUGAUUAGCUUGUUGGCGGGGUAACGGCCCACCAAGGCAACGAUCAGUAGGGGUUCUGAGAGGAAGGUCCCCCACAUUGGAACUGAGACACGGUCCAAACUCCUACGGGAGGCAGCAGUGAGGAAUAUUGGUCAAUGGGCGGAAGCUUGAACCAGCCAAGUAGCGUGCAGGAUGACGGCCCUAUGGGUUGUAAACUGCUUUUAUACAGGAAUAAAGUUAGCCACGUGUGGUUAUUUGUAGGUACUGUAUGAAUAAGGACCGGCUAAUUCCGUGCCAGCCGCCGCUGUAA